GUUGAAAAAUAAAUUUAAAUGAGUUCAGGUGACCUCAAGGCCAAAAUAAAUAGGAAUUUUUCAAAUACAAUUUAACGCAAUGGUGAGCGGGGUGUUACACAAUCCAUGCAACAAAACUACUAAAUCUGAAGCCCCUAACAUCAUACACACUAGUGUUGUCAAAAAUUGCUAGCCAAAAUUUUAUAUUGGAGGGAUCCUUCU
rnacentral:lncRNA from 1 species